rnacentral:rRNA from 1 species
CGCCCUCCCCCUAAGCUCGUAGUUGGAUUUCGGAGGUCCUUUGCGGUCCGCCCCUUCGGGGAGCGGGUCGCAGGCCUCCUAUGUUCCUAACGGUCCUCUUGCCGCGAGGUGAGGGGAAUCAACCGCUAGGAUCGUUUACUUUGAGGAAAUUAGAGUGUUCAAAGCAGGCGUAACUCGCCUCCGAAUACGUUAGCAUGGGAUAAUGGAAUACGACUUCGGUCUUGUUUCGUUGGUUUCGCUUGGCUGAAGUAAUGAUUGAUAGGGACAGUUGGGGGCAUUAGUAUUUAGUUGUCAGAGGUGAAAUUCUAGGAUUUACUAAAGACUGACCAAUGCGAAAGCAUUUGCCAAGGAUGUUUUCAUUAAUCAAGAACGAAAGUAGGGGGAUCGAAGACGAUCAGAUACCGUCGUAGUCUCUACCGUAAACUAUGCCGACCAGGGAUCCGGAGAGUUUGCAUGGAUGACUCCCCGGGCACCUUGUGAGAAAUCAUAAGUGUUUGGGUUUUGGGGGGAGUAUGGUCGCAAGGCUGAAACUUAAAGGAAUUGACGGAAGGGCACCACCAGGAGUGGAACCUGCGGCUUAAUUUGACUCAACACGGGGAAACUUACGAGGUCAGGACACUGUGAGGAUUGACAGAUUGAU